CAAUGGACUUUUUUGAUACUUCCUGUGUUUUAGUAGCUGGAACAUUCACCGCUGCAGAAACUGUUCUGUGUGUGAAUUUAUCUCAGCUAGUUUUCCUGUCUGGUCCUGUUUGUCAGCCAUCAAGAAUUAUUUUUUAUGAUUUGUAUUCCCACAUAAAUUUCAACUGAGUAGCUGGGACAUUCCCCGCUGCAGAAGCUGUUCUGUUUGUGAGUUUAUCUCAGCUAGUUUUCCUGUCUGGUCCUGUUUGUCAGCCAUCAAGAAUGAUUUUAUAUGAUUUGCAUUUCUGCAUAAAUUUCAACUGAGGGUACUUGAUUCAGUGGUGGUAUUCAGUGAUCCAUCAACAUACUAACAGAGUAAGUUUUAUUUCCUUUACAACCUUACUUCGUUCACACGAUUCAGAUGUUCUCUGUUAAUACCGCUUCCAUCUAUUAAUACCGUUUGCAUCACUGUCGGAAGGUAAAACGCAAUCACGCAUGGAACUGCUUUUUUCAAACUGCGAGGAAUAAUAAGUCUCUUUUAACGUUUCGCCAGCAAAUUGUUCAUUUGGAAUCACGUUCAACUAUCAGAACGGAAAAGUGCCAUAUAGAAUUACUAUUUAUGAUUUUUAAAGACUGCCCUUAAGUUUUCGACCAUACUGAAAGCGUGUUUUACCUUCG